CCUACGGGAGGCAGCAGUGGGGAAUAUUGCACAAUGGGGGAAACUCUGAUGCAGCGACGCCGCGUGAGUGAAGAAGUAUUUCGGUAUGUAAAGCUCUAUCUGCAGGGAAGAAAAUGACGGUACCUGAUUAAGAAGCCCCGGCUAACUACGUGCCAGCAGCCGCGGUAAUACGUAGGUGGCAAGCGUUAUCCGGAUUUACUGGGUGUAAAGGGAGCGUAGACGGCAGCACAAGUCUGGAGUGAAAUGCCGGGGCUUAACCCCGGAACUGCGUUGGAAACUGUGCAGCUAGAGUGCAGUAGAGGUAAGUGGAAUUCCUGGUGGAGCGGUGAAAUGCGUAGAUAUUAGGAGGAACACCAGUGGCGAAGGCAGCUUACUGGACUGUAACUGACGUUGAGGCUCGAAAGCGUGGGGAGCAAACAGGAUUAGAUACCCUAGUAGUC
rnacentral:rRNA from 1 species